UCAGGAUGAACGCUAGCGGCAGGCCUAACACAUGCAAGUCGAGGGGUAAGGUCCCGAGUAAUCGGGAUACACGACCGGCGCACGGGUGAGUAACGCGUUUGCAACCUACCUUCAACAGGGAGAUAGCUCCCGGAAACGGGAAUUAAUAUCUCAUAAUAUUUUUCUAUAGCAUUAUAGAAAGAUUAAAGCUCCGGCGGUUGAAGAUGGGCAUGCGUGACAUAGCUUGUUGGUAAGGUAACGGCUUACCAAGGCUACGAUGUCUAGGGGGUCCGAGAGGAUGAUCCCCCACACUGGUACUGAGACACGGACCAGACUCCUACGGGAGGCAGCAGUGAGGAAUAUUGGGCAAUGGACGCAAGUCUGACCCAGCCAUGCCGCGUGCAGGAUGAAUGCCCUAUGGGUUGUAAACUGCUUUUCUGCAGGAAGAAAAGUCCCGAUGUGUCGGGAUUCGACGGUACUACAGGAAAUAAGCAUCGGCUAACUCCGUGCCAGCAGCCGCGGUAAUACGGAGGAUGCAAGCGUUAUCCGGAUUUAUUGGGUUUAAAGGGUGCGUANGCGGGAGAUUAAGUCAGUGGUGAAAUCCUGCAGCUUAACUGUAGAAUUGCCAUUGAUACUGGUUUCCUUGAGUGUAGUUGAAGUGGGCGGAAUGUGUCUUGUAGCGGUGAAAUGCUUAGAUAUUACACAGAACACCUAUUGCGAAGGCAGCUCACUAAACUAAUACUGACGCUGAGGCACGAAAGCGUGGGGAGCAAACAGGCUUAGAUACCCUGGUAGUCCACGCUGUAAACGUUGAUUACUCGAUGUGUGCGAUACCCUGUACGCGUCUGAGCGAAAGCAUUAAGUAAUCCACCUGGGGAGUACGAUCGCAAGAUUGAAACUCAAAGGAAUUGACGGGGGCCCGCACAAGCGGAGGAACAUGUGGUUUAAUUCGAUGAUACGCGAGGAACCUUACCUGGGCUUAAAUGUAGACUGAUUUCCACCGAAAGGUGGUUUCCCUUCGGGGCAAACUGCAAGGUGCUGCAUGGUUGUCGUCACCUCGUGCCGUGAGGUGUCGGGUUAAGUCCCAUAACGAGCGCAACCCCUAUCGUUAGUUGCCAGCGAGUAAUGACGGGGACUCUAGCGAAACUGCCGGGUAACCGUGAGGAAGGUGGGGAUGACGUCAAAUC
rnacentral:rRNA from 1 species